UCUCCGUAUUUAGAGUUUACGAAAUGCCAAACAUUAUCUUAAACACUUUACAUGAAUAAACAUAUUUAACCCUUGCAACAGUUUGUGGUAGAUCAGAUUACUGCUGCCAUUUCUUUAUUCCUUGUUAUAGAAUUAUGCCCCUACGCCCUUUGCUGUGUGAUAUGACAGGGGCUCCCUCUAGAAUAAGGGGAGUAUAUGCCCCACCUAUUAUGGACUGAACUGUGUCCGUCCAAAUCCUUGUCUUGAAGCACUGACCCCCAGUGUGACUGUUCUUGGAGAUAAAGCCUUUCAGGGGAUAAAGUUAAAUGAAGCCAUGUGGGUGGGGGCCUAAUCCAACAGGACUGGUGUCUUUAUAGAAAGAGGAAGAGCUAGCAGGGGAAUGCACACAGAGGAAAGGCCAUGUGAGGACACAGGGAGAAGGUGGCCGUCUGCAGGCCAGGAAGAGAAAUCUCACCAGAAACCCAUCCUGCUAGCACCUUGAGCUGAAUUUCCAGCCACCAGAAUGCAAGAAAAUAGAGUUCUGUCAUUAAGCCAUCCAGCUUGUGCUGUUUUAUUAGCCCAAGCAGACUAAUAACAUCACUCUGGUGAGAGUGACUGACCUUGGCCAGUGAUAUGUCAGCAGUUUGCCUCUUUAGUAUGGCUUUCGUGUGUUUGGAGGACUUGGCUUGCCUGCCUAUGUGCCUAUGAUUCCUUAUGAGAGAGAUAAACCUGGAAAACUGCUGGUCCAUGGAGAAUGAGAAAAAACACAGAACCAACCUGAACUCAACCCACAAUCUGCAGCCUCAGCCAAGACUUGCUGAUCAUCACCCAACUCAGCAGAACUUCAGCUGACUGAAAAAACCCAUGACAAAGAAAAGGAAUGUAGAGAUUGUAAGCCAUUGAGAUUUUGGGAUUGUUUGUUAUGCAGCCAAAACUAAUAAGCAGUUAAUUGAGAUAAUAUUAUUAUCUCACAUUUUAUCAGUGAGGGAAGUGAGACACAGAGAGCUUAAGUACUUGUCCAAGGUCACACAGCUAGUUUGUGGCCGAUCUGAGAUAUAAACUCGAGCAGCCUGGCUCCAAUGUACACGCUUGCAACCACCACACACACACUAGUCCUUAUAAAAUCAGAGUUCUUCACCAUUCUUUGAUUGGAUGAUUUAAUUAAUUCGUUCUUUGACUUGUUAAUUCAUCAAACAUAGAUAUUUGGUUUCCGCAUUAUUUUUUCUCAUAAUAUCCCUAUCUUCUCCUGAGCAGUUAUCAAUAACUGUUAUUUAUAUGUGUCUUUUUCUAUGGUGGUUUUCUAUCCCUCUUGUUAGACAUUCAGCUCUGUGAGGGCAGGGAAUGUAUCUUUUUUGUUCCCACAGUAUACUGAUCAAUAACAGUAACUUCCUAUUAAAUAUAAGUGAGUUAAUUGUUAAAUGCCAGCACUGGUUAUGUUUUGGGACCUAGAAAUAAGGCAUUUCACCCUCUCUUAGACACCAAGAUUAUGAUGGAAGUAGCUAAGGGGUAAGCAAGGUAUAGAGAGCAGUGGGGCACAAAGAUGAAUCAUUUAUUCUGCUGUCAGGGAGGUGCAUUAGGGGUUUCACAGAGGAGAUAAAUAGUUGGGACUUGAAGGAAGAGUAGAGAAAAUCUCUGAUUUACUCUGAUUUAGAAGGCAAUCCCUAGCAGAGAGAACAACCAAGGAAAAGCAGGGAGGUUUAAAUGCAUGGUAGCUGCUGGACUUUGUGGGUUAUCCAGGUUGGCUGAAACAUAAUGUGUGUGGAGGAACUGUCUGGAGGUCAGCUGGAGGAGGGGGUAAUGGUCUGAUCCCCGAAUGCCAAGCUAAGGAGCUUGGACUCCACCUACAGGUCAUGGGGAGGAGUCGAUUGCCUAAUCCUGGAAGUGUUUGAGCUGACACUACAGGCACUUUUCUAAGAUUGUGUUAAGAGUAUUUAUGCAUCAGAAGAGGGCAGAAGUUAUGCAGAUUAAUAAGGGGAAACCUUACUGAAAUGGAGUCAAGAGGCCAGAAUGGGAGCUCUCAGGCUUGUACCAAUCAAAGUCAAUAUAUAUCCCUACAGGAAGAUGUACCUUGCAUUUCUGGCAGGAAUGAAACUAGAAGGAGGAAGAGAUUUUCUCCUUGCCUGGAAACAGCUCAGCCAAUGAUAGACUAUCACAAUUUGGCUAAUGGAAAGACAGUAUACUUCAAACUCCCAGUUUCCUCCAAAGGACUUUUUGCUUAUAACAGCCCCACCCAGCUUUUCCCUUCUCUGUGAAAGAGUUCCCUCUCCUUUACUUAACAGGAUUUGCAAGUGAUUCACUGUAGUUGCAUGUCUUGAGCUGCAAAUCUUUGCUGCUCCCAAAUAAACCCAUCCUGAUGGUAAAAUAGCUGGCAGUUUCAUUGUUUUAGGUUGAUAUUACACGGAGGUUCCAUUAAAAUGUGGAGAAGAUCGCCCCCCAACCCCCUCCCCAGCUGGACAACUCUGAGGCUGGUGAGCAAACAUCCUGGUACCCACGGAGCCCACUGAGUUCACUGCUUUCUAGCUGAUCCUGGAGUUAAAGGGCUCCAGCCCUAGUGUCAUCUUACUCCUCUGGGCCUAUCAGAACCUGACCCUUCAAAGUCCUGGAGCUGAUUCUUGAAACACUGAUUAUUUGUCCCUGUUGAAUCAGCUAUCACACUCCUCAGCUGGCAAAAAUCUCCAACUGGUAUUGGUGAAAUCCACAGUGCACCUUCCAUCAAGUUUCAAAUAGAUCGCUUCAAACCCCUCCCAAGAAUUUAUCAAUUUCCUAUCAACCCACUCCAGUAUUCUUGCCUGGGAAGUCAACUGUGGUGUGGAGAAGACUCUUGAGAGUCCCUUGG